ensembl:lncRNA
AGGUUCAAGUAAGUUCAUGUAAGGAACUGCUUUCCAGUGAAGAAGCCUCUAAUGCAGAGGGCACAAUGUAUCAGGAAAAAAGACAAAUGGACAAAUGUGGAACAGAAAGGCAAGACCCCUUUUACUGAGUUCCCAUUUGUCUUUCCCUUCUCCCUUUUCUCCCCCCUCCCCUCAAAAAACACUGAGCGGACGUGGAGAUUUGUACAGCUGUUUCAUCUCUGGGAGCAGACACUGAAGUGUGUCCCAGGGCUGUUGGUCAUAGCCCUCUGUCCUGGAAGGGUAGUUUGUGUUUUCAAACAUUUGCACUGUUGAGAGUGGGGGGAAAAGCUUUCUGCCUUCCUUGCCCUCCCCAGCUCUCUGUGGCAGCCCAGCUGAGCAGGGUGGGAGCAGCAGCACAGCCCCAGCUCAGCCACCUCUCAGUCAGUGCCUGCCCCGUACUGUAACGCCCGUGCUUGAGGAGGGGUAAGUCAGACCACUGGAACUACUCCUGCUGACCUAAAAUAUAUCUUCUUAUCAGUAUUAAAACAGUACAAGAGCAGAGCUGUUGCUUUAGGCACAUUUCUUGCCACUGUGUUGGCUGAACCUUGAAUGGAAGUAAGAGGGCCAGUGACUUUGAAAUAGGAGCUGUUAGCCAAGUUUUGUAGAAUCAUAGUCCUUAUUUAUUUUAUAUGCUAAUCUGCACUUGUGACCUGAGCAGAAAAGCUGCAGUACAGCAGGUUUUAUAAGCUGUGGCUUAACCAGUUAUCUAGUCUCUUACAACUCUUAUUUAAGCUGACUGGUUUCAUGCACAAGUUGAAAACCUGUUGUCAUUGAUCAUUAAAUGCUAUGCAUAUUGUACAUUCAUUUACAUGGAUUGUUCUAAUAGUGCUUGUGUGUAUUGUGCUACAUUACCAUAUUUUUAUAUAUGUAUGUAUUGCAUGAGGUUUAAUUGUUGGGAAUUUUUUGUACUGUCACUUUUGUAUUCACACAGUGCCUCAUGUAUCUAUUUGCAUAUUGCAAGAAGUUGUUUCAAAACAGUGAUUGGAAACAGGUGGGGAUAAGAACUUGCCACUGUAGGAUCUGAUGGUUCUGAAGUAUUAAUAAAGUAUAGUGACUCAAAGCA